rnacentral:rRNA from 1 species
UACGUAGGGUGCGAGCGUUAAUCGGAAUUACUGGGCGUAAAGCGUGCGCAGGCGGUUCGACAAGUCCGAUGUGAAAGCCCCGGGCUCAACCUGGGAAUGGCAUUGGAAACUGGCGGGCUGGAGUGUGGCAGAGGGGGGUGGAAUUCCGCGUGUAGCAGUGAAAUGCGUAGAUAUGCGGAGGAACACCGAUGGCGAAGGCAAUCCCCUGGGCCUGCACUGACGCUCAUGCACGAAAGCGUGGGGAGCAAACAGG